GGCCUACCAAGACUAUGAUGUGUAGCCGGGCUGAGAGGUUGAACGGCCACAUUGGGACUGAGACACGGCCCAAACUCCUACGGGAGGCAGCAGUAGGGAAUUUUCGGCAAUGGAGGAAACUCUGACCGAGCAACGCCGCGUGAACGAUGAAGUAUUUCGGUACGUAAAGUUCUUUUAUUAGGGAAGAAUAAAUGAUGGAAAAAUCAUUCUGACGGUACCUAAUGAAUAAGCCCCGGCUAACUAUGUGCCAGCAGCCGCGGUAAUACAUAGGGGGCAAGCGUUAUCCGGAAUUAUUGGGCAUAAAGGGUGCGUAGGCGGUUAAAUAAGUUUAUGGUCUAAGUGCAAUGCUCAACAUUGUGAUGCUAUAAAAACUGUUUAGCUAGAGUAAGAUAGAGGCAAGUGGAAUUCCAUGUGUAGUGGUAAAAUGCGUAAAUAUAUGGAGGAACACCAGUAGCGAAGGCGGCUUGCUGGGUCUUUACUGACGCUGAGGCACGAAAGCGUGGGGAGCAAACAGGAUUAGAUACCCUGGUAGUCCACGCCGUAAACGAUGAGUACUAAACGUUGGGUAAAACCAGUGUUGAAGUUAACACAUUAAGUACUCCGCCUGAGUAGUACGUACGCAAGUAUGAAACUUAAAGGAAUUGACGGGACUCCGCACAAGCGGUGGAUCAUGUUGUUUAAUUCGAAGGUACCCGAAAAACCUCACCAGGUCUUGACAUGCUUCUGCAAAGCUGUAGAAACACAGUGGAG
rnacentral:rRNA from 1 species